CAUAUCCCUACCUUUCCUCUACCUUUUUCCUGCUACCUACCGAUUUCUAUUUCUAUCGAUCGAAUUUUUCCUGGAUAAACAUCUUCCAUCGGGAUGGAAAUUAUAGCCAACCGUAUUCUCAUCAAUUUCUCGGAUAUAUAAAUCUUUUGAAUCGAGGACGAACAUGUAGAUGUGUCAUUUUUUGUUUGCACACGAUUUUUAUUACAUUGAAAACGGUGUCAUCUACCGAGACAUGGGUGUUGACACGUUACACACCGCAUUCUUCUACUCGUCCAAUUUUAGCUCGUUCUCGAUUUCGUACAUAGUUGCAUCAGCUACCAAAGAAGUUGCAAACCACCCUAUAAUUUCAUCGAAACGACUCAUUUCCAACCACGAAACAUCUAUCCUGGAAUUAUUACUAUCCAAAUCCCUGUCAUCGGAGCAAAUCCCUAUUUCAAAGAUAGUGCGCUCACGCUGCGAAUCGGCUGCACACGUGUCAGCGUUCUCCAUGCAGCCAACUGUGCUUACAGGAUGCGCGUUAAACACACGUCGGCCUUGAUGGAGCGUAGCGAUUGAUAAGAUUACGUAAAACGCGAGUUUUGCUGGCCAAACCUACGCGAAUGGUCAUAGGAAGAAAUACAUACAGAGAUGUAGAGAGGAAAAGAAGAUAGGCGGUAGCGGAGGUGCGCAAAGCUGAGGUAGACGGUGCCACGAGUGCAAGGAAAAGGGAAAGAGAGGCGUGGUACAACGAAGCGGAGAAGCGUGCAAGAGGAAAGAAGGAAGCGAGUGGGAUUCGUAUGACUGCUGGCACCAAGCAGUCUGCUCCGCUCACCUCGCUAUUCCCGCGAGCAAUGCCAGCCCGAGAUUGCUGCUCGGUACUUGACUCGUGUUCACGAACGUUCACGAACACGUACGAAGCUGUGCAUCGACGUGUACCCGAUGUGGAGUAGCGCCCUGGACAGAGCCAGCCACUCUCAGUCCGUCCACUAGCCAACAGAGACCAAGACAAAUAUUCCACUUUUCUUCGUGGAACAUGUGUUCCAGACCACUUGCUCGUUUCGUGCCAGUACAGAUGUACCCCCUUGAAGAAACUAAUGGGACAGAAUGGAAAGUCUUGCUUCCAUCGCGAUAAAAGACAGCAAGAAUUUCAAAUAAACGAAUCGAACAAAAUACUUUUAUCUUUUAUUUGAAAGGAUAUUAAGGGCAGUCUGUAAAUAAAAUAAUUGGCAAAGUGCCUUAUCACUUUUCUUCCUGUUAUCAAACAAAUAUGAUUAUCAAAAUAAGCUUUGUUUAUCUCUCUGUUAGCUGACUAGAGCUGAUACAAAAAAUAUAUCAACACUGGAUCAAAAUUAACCCCUUCUACGUCAACAGAGAACUAUUAAUGGCAAAAAUUUCGCGUUUAUAACUACCAAUCGGACGGUGAAUUAGCAUGAAGCUAAAAUAGAAUGUUUAUCGUGUUCCGUCGAGCGAUUUGCGUCAGACAACAGAUGCCUUAGCGAAAACUUUAAUUCGAUCAAUAAACGCAUCAAUAGAGAAAAUAGAGCAGGGUUUUUCCCUCGGAAAAUUCACGGAUCAGAUCUAAAUAAAUCGAUGAUCGGAAGGAGGAAAAGCGGAAAAUGAAAAAAGCCGAAAGAGAAAGAGGGAUUGCAAAGGUCGGACGAUACAGCUCGAUUCUAAAUUUGAACGGAUCACGAAGUAGUCACGGCUCGGAAAGAGCGCUACCAGCAAAAAAGAAAAGGAGAAGAAACAAAUGCAGUGGGAUUUAAGGUGGUACUCGAACAGACUGUUCGUUGUUUGUAAUGAACCGCCUGUAUGUACGUUUCGUUCUAAUUUUCUUCCUGUUUACGUUCCUUCCCUAAAGACCACACCGAUAUAGGCCCACCACUUCUGUUCUCUGACUAAACAUAUUUUCAACAAUGUCUGCUAGUCGAUGUCCAGGAAUGGAAACUCUGGAAAAAUAUGAUUCUCAAAAUAAACCACCCUUCGCUGGUGGAAUUUUCCUAUUUGAAUCUUCCAAUUUAACCGAGACAUCCAUCUUUCGAAAGCUGACAGAGUAUCACUUUCUGUUCGCUCUGAUCCUAAUUUCGGGAAUGUUAAUUCGAGCCGGAUUGAAGGUUAGAGGGAUAAACGUCAUGCAAACUUUCCACACACAGAUUUCCAGGCCUAUCGUGACUCACGUAUUCGAGAGAUAACUGACGUUGCGAUAAAAUUGCAAGGUCCCGAUAUACAUUCGUAACGAUGCCGCUCUGUUAUGUUCGGAGAAGGGAAAUUCCUUUUUUUUUCAUUUGUGAUAUCACAGGAAAACCACGAGAAUCAUUUCGUUCGUAACAAAUGUUAUUGUACAUAAGGUGUUAAAUAAGGCGGAACGAAAGAUUAGAAAGAAGAAAAUCGUGAUCCGUGUCGGUGUUAAAAGACGGUACAAACUGUCGAGGAUUUACGAGGAACCUCGGAUCGCCACGGCUCAUAACUUCGUGGCCGAGGAGCGCAGGUGUCGCCGGAAGUCGUUUUACGAGCGAGCGGAAACGUAAAUCGGAGCACGGUCUUCGUCACGGAAAAGGGAACCGAAUUCUACACAACAGGCUCUCGGUCGAACGAACGGUACUUACACGACUCGAUAAACUUUCAGUUUGCUCGAAAACAGGAACACCGUUCAAAGCGAUCCUGUAAUCUGAUCAUUCUUUUCAUAGAGUUUCAUAACUUUUUUCCUUUUAAAGAGUCUGAAUUUUAAUAUUAUCACAGAAUUUUACCAUUUUUAGAACACUAAUUUGAUACUCAUUUUCUGAAAUUAUAAAAAAUCCCUAAAAUAAUAAUAAUUCGCGAAAAAUUCACGUUCAAAUUUUUUCUUAAACGAAAUAUUAAUUAAAUUUUUCGAAUGAUUGAAUCGUCUACUGCCUCGACGUGGAACUUAACAAGGACUCGCGAGAUCAACGGAGACCUCGAAACACCGAAUGGUUCCUUCUCUUUAAUCAGCUGUGAUUAAAAAGUCAGAGAACGAAGAUCGUUUGAAAUUUUGAUCGUGUUCGCGAUUACGUCAGGUACCUACUCGAAUGCUAUAUCUAUGCAACGAACACGGUGUAAACCGGGCUUUAAAGGAUCGAGACGAGCGUGCUGCAAGCUCUCUUGAAUAGAUUCAAUCACCGGGAGUGUCUUCUCGGAAGCGCUCGGAUGCAUUUAAAUGCCCCCGGUCAAAUAAACAGGCCGUCGGUUGCAUAUCGAUUACCAGCUGAUAUGAUUUUUGCAUUCAAAUUACGUUUUUCGAUGUUUUAUUCUCUACUGGGAUACGUUCAGCUGAUCGACAGCAUGGCCAAGAAUUGAUCAAAAGAUUCGUACACGUGAAUGUUAAGAAUAUUGGAACAUUUACUCCAAGACUAAAACCGUUCCUUCGAAGUCCAUUUCUUUGAGAGGUUAAAAUGGUUACCUAUUUCUCGGAAUCGAUUUACACUUGGAAACAUUUCGUUUCAUUCAAUCACACUAUUCAUGUUGAGCUAUACAGUGGGUGAUCAAAUUAUUAGAGCCACUCGCAUAAAUUGACGAUUUUAUAUAAAAAUAAUUAAUUCUUAAAUGAAAACCUAGUUAAACGGAGUUUUUGUUAUUUUUUUAUGAAGUAUCGAUGCUUGUAAAAUUAUGAUACACAGUUGAAAAAAGUGAAAGUUCUUGACUGGCCUGGAAAUUCUUUGGUCCUCAACCCCAUCGAAAAUAUGUGGAAAUAUUUAUUAUUAGUAAUAAAUGUCAAUUGAUUGAACGUUUGAUAUUAGUAUGGGCUAAAAAUAAAGCAAUCAAAAUGAAUUGCCGAAAAGAAUUGAGGCAGUAAUUGCAGCUAAAGGCGGCAUUACGAAAUACUAACAUACAUACGUAAAUAUAAUCUUUUAAAUGUACUUGUUUAUUUUUAUAAGUAUUAUUGAUUAAAAGUUACACAAUGUAAAAACCUUAAAAUUGCGGCUUUAUUUCUACACAAACACGAAAAACCUACUUUUCAUACCAUAGCUCUAAUAAUUUGAUCACCCACUGUACCAUAUAUUGCAUCGUGAGUGUACAGUGCGUUUAAAAUAAAACGAUCAAUCGUGCAAAAGUUAAAUAAAAAUUUGAUUCUCAAAAGAAAAUGUUAAAUAUACUAAAAAUAACGUAUUAGAAUUUCUAACAAUUUUUGCAUAGUACUCGCAAUGUUAAUUUAAUUUUUGUAUCUUGUACAAAGUUCCAUGUAGUUCUUACACCGAUCGCUUAAUUUGCAUAAAAUGUUGAUCAUAAAACAAGAAUGAAGAAAGAAGGAAAAAAAGAAAAGUAAUACGCCUUUACCUUGGUCGCUGCAAUAAAACCAUAGAUAAUGAUACAAAGUAGCGUCACGAUUCGCGACAAAAAACGCGAAUACAUAGUUGCAUCGCGAGAGUCGGCGGAGGAGGUACUGUUGAAAACCGGAAAAAAAGCGAGUCCGUCACGUUGUUUCGAUCGCGAGAGGAAUGAAUAAGUAGCUGGUAGGUGACUAAUCAAUAAUCUUGUCAGCCAACGAGCGGGGACAAUAAUGACAGGUAGGGAGAUGUCGGCUCUGAUUGAUCGCGAUCCUACACUUUCAAGGAUAAUGUCCUCAGGCGUUUCGCGGGUCUUUGCCAAGGACAAGAUAGGAAUGUCAUCACAUAAUUACUGCACCUGUGAUGUUCCUUCUUCGUCAGAAUUUCUACGAAACGUUUGCAAGAAACAGGGGAAAAUCUACGGAAAUCAGAAUCUUUCCUUAACGGCUAAGACACCAAUUAUUACACCAAUUAGCGUUCGUUUCUUUUCAUCGUGAACGUGACAGCUGGGACGUUUUAUCGAAUACUGAAAAAAAGAGGAAAGGAAAGGAAAGGGAAGAGGAUAAGCGUUCCAGGAGACGAUUUCUGUUCCUAGGAAUCAAAAUGAUCGAAAGUGUGUACAAUAGUUAACGAGAUAUGCUCGGGUAAAAUGAAAAACAAACUGGCCUAGUUUAAUUAAACGCCACGUGGUGCCACGUGGUGGUGCGAGAAGGUUUGUGUUCGAAAGGAACGGGUUGACGGAAACGAAAUUUACGAGGGCCCAGGAAUCUGACUACCGACAUAUGUGUGUGUGUCGAGCUUUCUUUUAUGUGUAAGAAAAAAACAUGAUGUAUCGAGAAUGACACGAACAAGAUUGCAAAGACAAAAGAAACUAUAACAUCGUUAACACGUUUCGUAUUGAAAUUUCAAAUUAAUAUCAGCUGGUCGAAACCAGAUUCAAAAACUACCUUCUUUUUUUCUGUUUAAUAUAGAAGGUGUGAGAAACCGGAACGAGAAGGUUGAAUGAAGAAUGAUAUACAGGGUCGUUUGGGACCAGGCAUAAGGAUCUGAAUUGAAUUGUAAGAACAGUGGAACGUGACUAUGUUAUCUGAGACUUUGUUAUCGAGAAAAUUAAUUUAAAAAAUUUACCAAGUACCCGUGUAUUGUCUUGGGUCGUACUUUGAACAAAUACCGUGGGUCGUCGAUGACGUAUGCAACAUAUAAUUAAAAAAGAAACCUUGCAUUAUUCUUCUAAUUGUUUAUUCAUAGCUAUACCAUUUUAUUGUUUAUUUUAAUAAUCGUUUAAUUACAGUCAAUGUGACAAAAUGUCUUUUUUUAACGCACGGUCAUUUGGUAUUCACGAUUAUCCCAGCACAAAAAAAAAAUAUACACAAAAAUAAAAUAAAGAUAGAUUUUCGAGGAAAUUGAGAAGCGAAUAAAGCAUACCAAAUUAAAAGAAACGUUCUGUCUCGAAGCUUAUUUUAAUCGAUAAAAUGGUUUAAAAAUCGUCGAUUAAUUUGUCCAGACGAUAAGAUGGGGCUAAACUAGGAUAUCAAUGAAUACAAUCUUGUACGGCUCAUCAAGAUAUCGUUUAUCCGCAUAAACACACAGGGUAAUUAGGUAUAAACGAGGACACCCAGCGGCCAAUUUCAAUAAACAUUCUGAUGAAAUUUUUCGACAAUUUACGUGUACCCGGUGUAAUCAACUUUUUCCAUUAGAUAUCCGCCGCACUGAUUCUUGCACAAUUUCUCUUGUUUUCGACUCUUCGUUCAAUUUUAGAAAUAGAUAAGAACGACUCAUUGGACUGACAACGACAGGCAACAACAAUUUUUCGUCUGGUCGGUGUGUCCGAUGCACUAACGUAUAAAUUCUUUCGAACACACGCGCACACAUUGUUGUGCGACCCGAGUGUCUGGCAAGUUGAAAACUAAAAUAUAUGUUAUAUCCCGUGCGAGCCGUAUCGGGGUACCCGGCAAAGCGUAUAAAGCACACGUGUGCGUUUAUUUUACAUUUAUGCAGAUCGUAUUCACGCGUGCAACGGUUUACCACCGUGUGUGAAACGACCCUCGAGAAGAAAGCACUGUGAUUUCUCUCUUAUUCGAUUUAGAAAGUACCUGCCUAUUCUUUUAGAUAACCCCGGUCAAGCACACUGACAAAAAUCAUCGGGUACAAAUAAUAAUGCUAUUUUGGAGGGAAAAAAACAGAACGAAAACGCAAUGCGACUGAUAUUGUCUACGAUCGACAGAUAACAAAAUGAUGGACAAUUGAAUUAAAUUGCAAUGAAUGUUGCGUGAAUGUUGACUGUCAAUUAUUUGUUGCUAUAUUAACGAUAAACAUCGUAUGAGAAAAAUGGCUUUCACUUUCAAAAAGGAUUGUCCGAGUACUCGAUCAAACUGGUCGGUGUUUUUUGAACAAGCCAAAGGAUGGAAAGUCUCAGCGUUGGCUUACGGUGCCGCUGCGUUUAUCUGCAUAUGUUGGAUAACCGAUUGGCAAGCAGUAUGCAAAUAUAUUCCAUAUUACGGUAGCAAAUAUAAAAUUGGAAGUUCAAAAAAAUCCUCUGGCAUACUGGAAUGAUCGAUACUCAUCGGAUUAAAAACAUAGUAAAUAUUUACGAAUAAUUAAAUUAAAAUAUGUAUCAAUUAUUUGUAAAAAUGUAAUAAACAAUUGUGUUGCAUUAAAA